CGCUGGAGCUGAUCAAGAACGCGCAGGUGCAGGCCAUCAUCGGGCCCAAGACGUCGGCGGAGGCAGAGUUCGUCGCCCACCUCGGCAGCCGCGCCCACGUCCCCGUCCUCUCCUACUCCGCCACCUCCCCGUCCCUCUCGCCGGCGCAGACGCCCUACUUCGUGCGCACCGCCGCCAACGACUCCUUCCAGGCCACCCCCGUCGCCUCCGUCCUCGCAAGCUUCAGAUGGCGCGCGGUGGCCGUCCUGCACGAGGACUCGCCCUUCGGCGCCGGCAUCCUCCCAGCGCUCGCCGACGCACUCCAGAGCGUCGAUAGCGCGGCGAUCGUGGACCGCGUGGCCGUGCCGAGCAGCGCGGACGAAGAUGCGCUUGAUGCGCUCCUUUACCGCCUCAAGGCGAUGCCGACGCGUGUGUUCGUCGUGCACGCCUCGCACAGCCUCGCCGCGCAGCUCUUCCGGCGAGCCAGCAAGGCCCAGAUGAUGUCCGACGGCUACGCCUGGGUCGCCACCGACGGCGUAGGCAACUUCGUGGACAGGUUCGACCCCGAGGACCUCGACUCCAUGCAGGGCGUCGUCAGCCUCCGUCCUCACGUGGCGUACACGAACCAAGUCAAGAACUUCUCUGCGAGGUUCAGGGCGAGGUUCCGGAGGGAGAACCCGGCCUCCAACGAUGACGUCCUCAACGACGCCACUGUGACGGGGCUCUGGUCGUACGACACGGCGUGGGCGAUCGCCGCGGCAGCCGAGGCGGCCAGCGUCCCCGGCCCAGCAUUUCGGACACCGCAGAAUAGCACGGAACGUACAGACCUAGACCAGCUCGGCGUGUCGACCACCGGAGAGGCGCUUCUUAGCGCGAUUCUCAACACGACGUUCGACGGGAUGGCAGGCAGGUUCAAGCUGGUGGACGGGCAGCUGCGGGUCGCGGCGUACGAGGUCGU
rnacentral:rRNA from 1 species